rnacentral:rRNA from 1 species
UACGUAGGGUGCAAGCGUUAAUCGGAAUUACUGGGCGUAAAGCGUGCGCAGGCGGUUUUGUAAGUCUGUCGUGAAAUCCCCCGGGCUCAACCUGGGAAUUGCGAUGGAGACUGCAAGGCUAGAAUCUGGCAGAGGGGGGUAGAAUUCCACGUGUGAGCAGUGAAAUGCGUAGAGAUGUGGAGGAACACCGAUGGCGCAAGGCAGCCCCCUGG